rnacentral:tRNA from 1 species
GGGGCUGUAGCUCAGUUGGUAGAGCGCUUCAAUGGCAUUGAAGAGGUCAGGAGUUCGAUUCUCCUCAGCUCCAC